AUUGAACGCUGGCGGCAUGCCUUACACAUGCAAGUCGAACGGCAGCACGGGUGCUUGCACCUGGUGGCGAGUGGCGAACGGGUGAGUAAUACAUCGGAACACGUUCUGUAGUGGGGGAUAGCCCGGCGAAAGCCGGAUUACUACCGCCUACGAUCUACGGAAGAAAGCGGGGGACCUCCGGGCCUCGCGCUUUAGGGUUGGCCGAUGGCUGAUUAGCUAGUUGGUGGGGUAAAGGCCUACCAAGGCAACGAUCAGUAGCUGGUCUGAGAGGACGACCAGCCACACUGGGACUGAGACACGGCCCAGACUCCUACGGGAGGCAGCAGUGGGGAAUUUUGGACAAUGGGCGAAAGCCUGAUCCAGCAAUGCCGCGUGUGUGAAGAAGGCCUUCGGGUUGUAAAGCGCUUUUGUCCGGAAAGAAAUCCUUGGCCCUAAUACGGUCGGGGGAUGACGGUACCGGAAGAGUAAGCACCGGCUAACUACGUG
rnacentral:rRNA from 1 species